rnacentral:rRNA from 1 species
UACAGAGGGUGCGAGCGUUAAUCGGAAUUACUGGGCGUAAAGCGCGCGUAGGCGGCUUUGCAAGUCGGGUGUGAAAUCCCCAGGCUUAACCUGGAAACUGCAUUCGAGACUGCAUUGCUAGAGUAUGGGAGAGGGAAGUGGAAUUUCCGGUGUAGCGGUGAAAUGCGUAGAUAUCGGAAGGAACAUCAGUGGCGAAAGCGACUUCCUGGACCAAUACUGACGCUCAUGUGCGAAAGCGUGGGGAGCAAACAGG